GAGAAUAUUAUUCAAGAGAUAUCAAAGGAAUGUCCUGAAUUGUUAAAAACAUUAACAUGUGCUUUAGGCAACAAGAUAAAGUUUGAGUCUAAGAUUGCCACCAUUUCAACAAUCUAUGGCAUGAUACUACAUAGCAGAAACAACCAGGUGUCGGGGAUACAGAGGCUGUAUACAACAAUGGCAGUGAGGUACCAUGCAGAUAAUAAGUAUGACAGAAACUCUGUUUUCCCUUGCUUAUAUGCUUUCAGCUUUGACUACUGACUCGACUGAACAAGAUCCAUCUUACUUUAACAGAGGAUUCCAAACGAAACAUCAUUAAAAGCUUUGGAGCUGAAUUGAACAAUCUACAAAUCCCUGUUGGAGGUGACCAGCUCACAAGAGUUCGUUUGCAAGGUGCUAAGGGUUUACGAGCUGGAGCACACACUGCAGCACAGAGAUUUGAACGACUGUACCCAGUAGUGGUAGAAAUGUUUCAUGUACUUCAGGAUUUUCUGGAGAAGAUGUGCAAGAAAUUCCUGAAUUUGUCCAAAGGUAGGGAUGCAGGAACUUUAGCCAGUUUGAAAGUACAGAUUCAGCGAACAAAUGUUAAUGGGAAAGUCAAGAGUCGUUUCAAGGUAAAACAAAAUAAAACAUAAUGACUGAGGUUAAGCUGUCCAUUAGAUCAGAGAUCAUCAUACAUAU